UACGUAGGGUGCAAGCGUUGUCCGGAAUUAUUGGGCGUAAAGAGCUCGUAGGCGGUCUGUUGCGUCGGCUGUGAAAACCCGGGGCUCAACCCCGGGCCUGCAGUCGAUACGGGCAGACUAGAGUUCGGUAGGGGAGACUGGAAUUCCUGGUGUAGCGGUGAAAUGCGCAGAUAUCAGGAGGAACACCGAUGGCGAAGGCAGGUCUCUGGGCCACUACUGACGCUGAGAAGCGAAAGCGUGGGGAGCGAACAGG
rnacentral:rRNA from 1 species